rnacentral:lncRNA from 1 species
AUGGAGGGGCACCUGAAGGAGGGAAAGCUAUCAGAGGAGAAAAUACGAUCAUUAGCAGAAAAGCUGGAAAAGGACAUGGUGGAGUACCAAAGGAGGCUUCAGGAAACUGUUGAUGAGAAAAUCAGGGCGGACAGAGAGAAACAGGAGGCACAGGAGCAGAUUAGCAAACUUCACUCAGAGUUGGUACGGGCACAGUCUAGUAACGCAAAUCUUCACCAAGAGAGUCGGCUGGUCUUGAGAAAUGUUCAUCUUUGGAUCACUGAGCAAAGGACUUCCUGUGAGAUCCUGCUGACCCAAAUGAAGGCCCAAAACCAGAAGCUGCUUAUUGAUGCUGCAGAAAUAACACACCUCCGGGAGGCUAAUGACACGUUGAAGGCGGAGAUGGGGAAACUAAAACAAGCGCUGGAUGAGAAGGAGCGAGACCCGGAAUGCUUCCAGGCUCAGAUCCGAGACCGGAGCAUGGGAGAAGACGGGAGAAAAAUGUCCUCUCACCGCAUUGGAAAGAAAAGUUGUGUUGCUCGAAACCUCAACAAAAUCGAGGACGUUCAUUCCAGACUGCAAAGCAACCAAGAGGCCAUCGGCAUGCUAAAUCAACAACUUCACUCUACAGACAUGACUGCUAUUUCCUCUUUCCUGCAGGUAGGAUAUUUCAAACUGUAUGAAACAAUGCAAGAGGCGGAACAGCUCGUGUAG